UGAUGAUGUGAAGAAAGAGUAUGCUCACUAAUUAUGGUUUGAAAAAUAAAUGAGUUCAUAUCAACCAUAAUAAAAGCAGACACUGGAAAAUCUUUCCUGUUUUCUCCAGACUUAUAUUCUUUUAAAUGAGGACAGAGACUUUAAUUUCUCAUAAAUAUUUACUGCAUUCUAUAGGAAUAACAUCCCCUGGAGCAUAACAUAGAAUCAAUAUUGGUGGGGUUCCCUGGAGCUGCUCAUCAAGGAAAUCACCAAAUACAAGUCUUGACAGGGAUGUAUAUUGACUAAGGAAGCACUCUAGGAUAAAUAAGUUUUGGUUACUGUAAAAGAAAAUAAGUCAAGGGAAAAGACAUAAACUUCUUAUCUUAAUCUUGCAUUUUUGAAAUUAUAAAAAUUGGACAUUGAUGGUGUUAAGUGGUAUGUCAUUUCACAAACUGCAUUAUGCUAAACAUAUGUGCCUCUUUUAUAUUCUAAUAACCUAUUAUUAAUUCAUUUUAGGGUCAUAAAAAUCUGCUUAUUCUUCUCCAUCAUCGCAUUUUAUACCUUUGUUUUAGCAAACAAAAUAAUAAAGCAUUAUUCUAUUAAAAAAUGAAUAUGUUUUGGUCAAUAUACAUAAAAACAUCACACUUGAUCCAUAACGGCUUUGAAUGUGGAGAGAAAGUAAAAGAACAAUGGGUUUCUGACGGGGUCACAGCCAGCUAGUGCCUUUAUGUAAUUAAGAACAUUUCUUCCUCCAGGGUGGCAACCCCCCCAGACGGUGCAGAGCUCAAGCUCCCCACGACCUGUGGCUCUAGUUAUGGGAAACUCUUGAGGAAAGGGAGUUUCCACUGAAAAAAGGGAAAGGGACUUAAAGGAAGACACAGGAGGGGGAAAGUAUUUUGUUUGGAGUUAAUCUGUUUCCUUCCAUUGUGAUGCUACACUCUCAUCAUCUAGCUGCAUUGAGGCCAGACUUUUAAGAAGUCUGGGGCUUGUACAUACUUUUUUCAUUUGCAUGGCUCAUCUUAGGACUAUAUCCUAAGCUUUCUUUUCUUCUCACUCCACAUAUUCUCCCUGGGUUAAUUCAUGAACUCCCCUAGCUUUGAUUCCCAUGCACCUGCUGAGGACUCCCAAUUUGUCUCUCCAGCCAAGCCAGAUGUCUCUCCUCAACUCCAGACUCAUCUACCCAACCAUCCCCUAGUGGCUUUACUAGGGGAUAGAAAGGUGGUUUUAAUGAUUUCAUUAUGUCUUCCUGUAUUUUCUAAAUUGUCCAUAAUUAUAUGUAUUUCUACGAGAAUUACGGAAAUGUGAUUAAUUGAAAAAUAAAAUAGCAGACAUGAGAAAUGUGAAGUGACUCUACUGUGUCACUGCUCUAUGAGAGUUGCAAUGCUAAAGUGUCAUGUUUAUUCUGGCGUUCAGUCUCCUCUACAGCAGGAAAGGGUGGGCAUUAUCAUCUUCACGAAACCGAUGAAGAAACUGAAACUCAAAGAAAUCAUGGUCCCAAAGCUAACAAUUACGAAGCUUGAAUUUGAACCUAGAACUGUCUGACUUCAAAAGCUUUGCUUUUCCAAAUGCAUGUGUUCUCAAUGGGGAAGACAACAAAAACGAAGCAAAAAGAACACAUCCAAGUUAUGCGCAUUGUUCUUAAAGCCCUUUACCUAACAGGACCUCAUAUUUACUAUCUUUCCUUGCCUUUUAUUCUCAAGUGGUGCUGGCCUUCCAAGGUCCUCCAAAUAUUUUGUAAAAUGAGUUAGAAGAUGACAUUUGGCCUCCUUGCUCUUUUUAAGCAAAAGCCACAGACUAUUAUUAGUCUUUACUGUUCAAUUUGAAACUCUAUGACUACUUUCUUUAUUGUUAUAAUUAACAAAUAAUAUUAGUUUCCAGUGUACAACAGAUUCAGUAUUUUUAUGCAUUAUGAAAUGAUCACCAAAAUGCCAGUUACCAUCUGUCACUAUACAAAGUUGUUACAACAUUACUGACUAUAUUCCCUAUACCUUACAUCCCUGUGAGUUAUCUAUUUCAUAGCUGGAAGAUUGUACCUCCUAACCCCAUUCGCCUAUUUCAUCCACAUGAAUAUUUUCACCUCUUAUUUUUACCUAGCCCAUCAUUCCAAUGCAUGGACUAUCUUCAUGAAACCAUACUAUGGUUGAUAUAUUGGGAUUGCUAGACCUUGACCUGUAUUUCUAGGUGCCCUAUAACUAUUCUAAACAUUUCUUGAAACUUCAUCAGUUUAUUCUGAUUGAUUAUCAAGCAACUAUACAACCCUUUAACAGUUCAAAAAUAUUUAUUGAGCAUCUGCUUUAUGUCAAGAUGGGGGUACAAAGAUGAAUAAGACAGAGCACAUGUUCUUUGUCAUGGCAGGGGGCACAUACAUGGAUAAUUGUGACAUAACUUGAUAAGUGAUUAAAUUGAGGAAGGCCCUGAGGGAAGACACCCAGCUCCCUGAUGCUCAAUGAAGCUUUCAUAGGCAAUGACUGCUGAAGACAAAUAAGUGAAUUCUACAGACAACCUCAAAUCUCAUUUUCACUAAUGGCCUCAGCCUUUUUAUUUUUUAACUAGGUGGUAAUUAGUACCAAACCGACUGCCUUGAUUUUCUUUCCUUAUUUUUGUCACUCAU
rnacentral:lncRNA from 1 species